rnacentral:rRNA from 1 species
GUCUGCUUGAAAAUAUAAGCAGUCUAACCUGCCCACUGAAUCACUUUUAAAGGCCGCGGUACCCUGACCGUGCGAAGGUAGCAUAAUAAUUAGUCUUUUAAUUGAAGACUGGAAUGAAGGGUUGGACAAAAAGCAACCUGUCUCAACUAUAUAUAUUGAACUUAACUUUUAAGUGAAAAGGCUUAAAUAAUCUAGGAGGACGAUAAGACCCUAUAAAACUUAUAUUUAUAAACAUAUAGAUUGUGAAUUAUUAGUGAAAAACAGUAUAUAUUUUCAUAAAUUUCGUUGGGGCGACGAGAGUAUAAAAUUAACUGCUCUUUAUAUUAAACAACCAUAAUUGUACACAAUGACCCUUUCUCAGGAUUUAAAGAAAAAGUUACUUUAGGGAUAACAGCGUUAUUUUUUUUAAGAGUCCUUAUCAACAAAAAAGUUUGCGACCUCGAUGUUGAAUUAAAAUUUCCUUAUAAUGCAGAAGUUAUAAAGGAAGGUCUGUUCGACCUUUAAAUUUUUACAUGAUUUGAGUUCAAACCGGUGUAAG